rnacentral:sRNA from 1 species
CAUAUGGACGUGACCGUCGAUUCCUGCGGCCGUCAGGAUAAGAUGCUCGCCCGAUAUGGCGUCGGUCGACGGGCCUGUGACCAGGUCGGGGCUGACACCCUUCAUGACAUUGGGGUUGCCUGCCUUGCCGAUUCCCGCGAUCUUGCCGUCCUUUACGCCUACAUCGGCCUUGACGACGCCAAGCACCGGGUCAAGAAUAGUGACGUUGGUGAUCACCAGAUCAAGACUGCCGGCAUCGGACGUGCACUCGUUGGCGAGACCCAUGCCGUCGCGC